AUUGAACGCUGGCGGCAGGCCUAACACAUGCAAGUCGAGCGGAUGACAGGAGCUUGCUCCUGGAUUCAGCGGCGGACGGGUAAGUAAUGCCUAGGAAUCUGCCUGGUAGUGGGGGACAACGUUUCGAAAGGAACGCUAAUACCGCAUACGUCCUACGGGAGAAAGCAGGGGACCUUCGGGCCUUGCGCUAUCAGAUGAGCCUCGGUCGGAUUAGCUAGUUGGUGAGGUAAUGGCUCACCAAGGCGACGAUCCGUAACUGGUCUGAGAGGAUGAUCAGUCACACUGGAACUGAGACACGGUCCAGACUCCUACGGGAGGCAGCAGUGGGGAAUAUUGGACAAUGGGCGAAAGCCUGAUCCAGCCAUGCCGCGUGUGUGAAGAAGGUCUUCGGAUUGUAAAGCACUUUAAGUUGGGAGGAAGGGUUGUAGAUUAAUACUCUGCAAUUUUGACGUUACCGACAGAAUAAGCACCGGCUAACUCUGUGCCAGCCGCCGCAGUAACAC
rnacentral:rRNA from 1 species